rnacentral:tRNA from 1 species
CAAGACAUAGUUUAUAUAAAAUAUUAAUUUUGGAGAUUAUUGAAGGCUAAUAGCUUGUUUUGA